ACGAAAGAAAGCAGCGCCUCUUCAGUACUUCCGGAACUCGGUUGGUUCCGUUCCUCCAUCCCCUCCCGCCGCAGUUUUUCUAGAGAGCGGAAGGCGAGAGCGGCGCGCCUUGACGUCGCUGGCUGGAAGUCUUCGGAACCACAGACAGCUAGGAGGAGGACGACGGUGGGGUCGCUGCCCAAACCGAGAGGAUGGUGACGGACGUGCAACUGGCCAUCUUUGCCAAUAUGCUUGGAGUCUCGCUGUUCCUCCUGGUCGUCCUUUAUCACUACGUGGCCGUCAACAACCCGAAGAAGCAGGAGUGAGCGAAUGACUGGACCGCCCUCUCCUGACCCCUACCCCAAAAGAAUGCAGAGCCAUCAGCACACGAAGGCCCAGAUGUUAUAGCUGUACUUGGUUUUGUUGAAAACCUGGAGAUAAUAAAUGAUUAGAGAAUACACUUCA